GGCUGUAUACCAGCCGUGACUAUGAAGCAUGCCUGGUCAACAUGAUGAAAGACAAAUAUGAGGCGGAGCUGAAGACGAAAGAGAACCAAGUCAUCGAUCUUCAAGAAGCCCUGAAAACCCAACAAGAUGAAACCUCCAAAGCAAAAGAGGAAUUGACCAGUGCUUUAAGCGCCAUGGAACAACUUAAGGAAAACUUCAAAAAGAAACGGGCGGACUAGGCCACUGAGAAAUCCGCUUUGAUCAAACGAGCAGAGGAUGCUGAGGCUGCACUAAAACCAGUGGCAGAUGAACUGACCAGCAUAAAGCGGCACGUGCAUGCCAUGACUGCUGCUAUCUUUGGGACACGCAUUGGUCACUUGCGGUCAGAUGUACCGAAGAAGCUAAAAGCCGCCUAUACAUUGGUUGAACAAUUGUAUACUGGUGCCCAGCAGAUCAUCUGUAC